UUUAUGGAGAGUUUGAUCCUGGCUCAGGAUGAACGCUGGCGGCGUGCCUAAUACAUGCAAGUCGAGCGAACAGACGAGGAGCUUGCUCCUUUGACGUUAGCGGCGGACGGGUGAGUAACACGUAGGUAACCUACCUAUAAGACUGGGAUAACUUCGGGAAACCGGAGCUAAUACCGGAUAAUAUUUCGAACCGCAUGGUUCGAUAGUGAAAGAUGGCUUUGCUAUCACUUAUAGAUGGACCUGCGCCGUAUUAGCUAGUUGGUAAGGUAACGGCUUACCAAGGCAACGAUACGUAGCCGACCUGAGAGGGUGAUCGGCCACACUGGAACUGAGACACGGUCCAGACUCCUACGGGAGGCAGCAGUAGGGAAUCUUCCGCAAUGGGCGAAAGCCUGACGGAGCAACGCCGCGUGAGUGAUGAAGGUCUUCGGAUCGUAAAACUCUGUUAUUAGGGAAGAACAAACGUGUAAGUAACUGUGCACGUCUUGACGGUACCUAAUCAGAAAGCCACGGCUAACUACGUGCCAGCA
rnacentral:rRNA from 1 species